ACGAACGCUGGCGGCGUGCUUAACACAUGCAAGUCGAACGGAAAGGCCCUGCUUUUGUGGGGUGCUCGAGUGGCGAACGGGUGAGUGACACGUGAGUAACCUGCCCUUGACUUUGGGAUAACUUCAGGAAACUGGGGCUAAUACCGGAUAGGAGCUCCUGCUGCAUGGUGGGGGUUGGAAAGUUUCGGCGGUUGGGGAUGGACUCGCGGCUUAUCAGCUUGUUGGUGGGGUAGUGGCUUACCAAGGCUUUGACGGGUAGCCGGCCUGAGAGGGUGACCGGCCACAUUGGGACUGAGAUACGGCCCAGACUCCUACGGGAGGCAGCAGUGGGGAAUAUUGCACAAUGGGCGGAAGCCUGAUGCAGCAACGCCGCGUGCGGGAUGACGGCCUUCGGGUUGUAAACCGCUUUCGCCUGUGACGAAGCGUGAGUGACGGUAAUGGGUAAAGAAGCACCGGCUAACUACGUG
rnacentral:rRNA from 1 species